rnacentral:rRNA from 1 species
GAUGAACGCUGACAGAAUGCUUAACACAUGCAAGUCGAUUCGAUUUACCUUCGGGUAUUGAGGAUGGCGGACGGGUGAGUAACGCGUAAGGAACUUGCCUCUUGGUCUGGGACAACUGUUGGAAACGACAGCUAAUACCGGAUAUUAUGAGAUUCUCGCAUGGGAAACUUAUGAAAGCUAUAUGCGCCAAGAGAGAGCCUUGCGUUCCAUUAGCUAGUUGGUGGGGUAACGGCCCACCAAGGCGACGAUGGAUAGCCGGCCUGAGAGGGUGAACGGCCACAAGGGGACUGAGACAUGGCCCUUACUCCUACGGGAGGCAGCAGUGGGGAAUAUUGGACAAUGGACCAAAAGUCUGAUCCAGCAAUUCUGUGUGCACGAUGAAGGUCUUCGGAUUGUAAAGUGCUUUCAGUUGGGAAGAAGCAAGUGACGGUACCAACAGAAGAAGCGACGGCUAAAUACGUGCCAGCAGCCGCGGUAAUACGUAUGUCGCAAGCGUUAUCCGGAUUUAUUGGGCGUAAAGCGCGUCUAGGCGGAAAAAUAAGUCUGGUGUUAAAAUGCGGGGCUCAACUCCGUAUUGCGUUGGAAACUGUUUUUCUAGAGUACUGGAGAGGUGGGCGGAACUACAAGUGUAGAGGUGAAAUUCGUAGAUAUUUGUAGGAAUGCCGAUGGAGAAGUCAGCUCACUGGACAGANACUGAC